UUAAAUUGAGAGUUUGAUCCUGGCUCAGGAUGAACGCUGGCGGCGUGCUUAACACAUGCAAGUCGAGCGAUGAAGUUUCCUUCGGGAAACGGAUUAGCGGCGGACGGGUGAGUAACACGUGGGUAACCUGCCUCAUAGAGUGGAAUAGCCUUCCGAAAGGAAGAUUAAUACCGCAUAAUGUUGAAAGAUGGCAUCAUCAUUCAACCAAAGGAGCAAUCCGCUAUGAGAUGGACCCGCGGCGCAUUAGCUAGUUGGUGGGGUAACGGCCUACCAAGGCGACGAUGCGUAGCCGACCUGAGAGGGUGAUCGGCCACAUUGGGACUGAGACACGGCCCAGACUCCUACGGGAGGCAGCAGUGGGGAAUAUUGCACAAUGGGGGA
rnacentral:rRNA from 1 species